AGGGUGUAAGCACACAUGGAGGGCACAGGGUGCAUUCACAGGGCAGGGUGUAAGCACAUAUGGAGGGCACAGGGAGCUGAGCAGGGCAGAGUGUAAGCACACAUGGAGGGCACAGGGAGCAAGCACAGGGCAGGGUGUAAGCACAUGGGGGCACAGGGAGCAUUCACAGGGCAGGGUGUAAGCACACAUGGAGGGCACAGGGUGCAUUCACAGGGCAGGGUGUAAGCACACAUGGAGGGCACAGGGAGCUGAUCAGGGCAGGGUGUACGCACAUGGGGGCACAGGGAGCAUUCACAGGG